UACAGAGGGUGCAAGCGUUGUCCGGAUUUAUUGGGUGUAAAGGGUGCGUAGGCGGGACGAUAAGUCCGAGGUGAAAGCCCGCAGCUUAACUGCGGAACUGCCUUGGAUACUGUCGACCUUGAGUCCCGGAGGGGUGGCUGGAAUUCCUGGUGUAGCGGUGAAAUGCGUAGAUAUCAGGAGGAACACCGGAGGUGUAGACGGGUCACUGGACGGGUACUGACGCUGAGGCACGAAAGCGUGGGGAGCAAAC
rnacentral:rRNA from 1 species